UACGGGGGGGGCAAGCGUUGUUCGGAAUUACUGGGCGUAAAGGGCUCGUAGGUGGCCAACUAAGUCGGACGUGAAAUCCCUCGGCUUAACCAGGGAACUGCGUCUGAUACUGGAUGGCUUGAGUCCGGAAGAGGCGAGUGGAAUUCCCGGUGUAGCGGUGAAAUGCGCAGAUAUCGGGAGGAACACCAAUGGCGAAGGCAGCUCGCUGGGACGGUACUGACGCUGAGGCGCGAAAGCGUGGGGAGCAAACAGG
rnacentral:rRNA from 1 species